rnacentral:misc_RNA from 1 species
GAUGAAGAACGUAGCGAAAUGCGAUAAGUAAUGCGAAUUGCAGAAUCCGUGAGUCAUCGAGUCUUUGAACGCACAUUGCGCCCCCUGGUAUUCCGGGGGGCAUGCCUGUCCGAGCGUCAUUGCUGCCCUCAAGCACGGCUUGUGUGUUGGGCCUCCGUCCUCCUCCCGGGGGACGGGCCCGAAAGGCAGCGGCGGCACCGCGUCCGGUCCUCGAGCGUAUGGGGCUUCGUCACCCGCUCUUGUAGGCCCGGCCGGCGCUUGCCGACACAUCAAUCUUUUUUCCAGGUUGACCUCGGAUCAGGUAGGGAUACCCGCUGAACUUAAGCAUAUCAAUAAGCGCAGGA